CUGGGCUGAAGCAACAAGGCACCUCAGCUUGCAACGCUGAGGCUGCAUGAAGCAUGCAUGAAGCAGAGCUCCAGGUUUGUUCCGUUUUGUCUGGCUUUGGGACGUCUGCAGCUACCAUUUGGUCUGGGAGCAAAUAAUAUCUCUAGCAUCCUGGAUGCUGCUCAUGAUAAUCCCAAGCUUCCUGGCUGUGGCUUUGUGAUGCCUUUCAGGGCUUUUGAUGCAUUUUGAUGCCUUGGCUGCUCCCUAACACCUCUCUCCUCCCGCCGUGUCCAUUCCUGGUUCCCAACCUACGAGCUGGCCGUGCAGAGCAUCUGCAGACCUGUCAUCAUCACGCUGCUGCAGGACGAGCUCACCCUGACCAACAUCUCUCCCGACCCAGCUUCUCAUUGGUCAUCGGCAGCACCGCCCCGCCCCCUGCCUCUCAUUGGUCAUUGGCAGCACCGCCCCACCCCCGGGGUCUCCUUCAUCUGCGGUAGCUCCGCCGGCUGCGAUUGGCUGAGCCACUGGGUGCGGGAGCGGCCGUUGGGGGCCGGCUGUUGGAGGCGCAGGAGACCUCGGCGGCAGCCGUUGCUGUCCGGGCAGCAGCGAGGCAGAAGCCGCGGCACAACGGGACACUGAGGACAGCAGCGCCGGAGGUGUGCAGGAGAGCAGUCCCGGGACAGGGAGAGGAGCCCUGCGCGGCCCCAAGCAAGGGGAAAUGGCCGUCAGCUGGAGCGCGGGAAGUUCCGCUCCUGCAUGGGAAGGAACUUCUUCCCAGCGAGGACGACAGAGCUGUGGCACAGGCUGCCCAGGGAGGCUGCGGCUUCUCCUCGUCCGGAGAUAUUCCAGAGCCGCAUGGACGCCCGCCUGUACAGCCUGCUGUUUGCUAGUGGAAGAUGGAGAGAGGAAUGGCAAGUCAAAGUCAUGCUGUGCAUAGCCAGCACAGAGCAUUGCACCAUUUCCCCCUGCACAAAGGAGGAGCAGCUCAGCAAGCUUGGCCUGGGCCAUGGAAGGGAGCACACCAACAUCUGGACCGACCCCAAACGAGCUGGUUGUGCAGGAAUCUAUGUGGGUUAUUUAAUGAGGAAGAAACUGGUUGUACAGCCCUGUCGCGCGUGCUCAGAUGAGCCAAGUUGUCAAGGCCUGGCUGUUGGUUGGUGAGUUGUGCCCAAGGUCAGAGAGUUGACUCUUCUUGGCUUUGAGACGUCUUCUAGUUGCACGCUGUGUUCUUCCUCUUGACCUCUUGAGCUCCUGCCCUAAGUGAGGAUGCAAGCAGGACUGCGGAAGGAAGGGUUGAGAUUGGAAGUGCAAUGCCAAGGACUGGAGCCAGCAGGAGCAGGGAAGUGAUCAUCCCCCUGUACUGAGCACUGUCAUGACCACAGAACCAUAGAAGCGUUACCCAGACCAAAUGAGCAUUUGUCACCUGGACUUCCUACCAAUGACACAGGCGGUGGGAAUCAGCAUGCGAAGCAUCCGUAAGAGCCCUGCAAAGGAAUGGCAGAAAAGCUGGAUGUGUCUGCCAAGGGAGAUGUACACCACACUUGCACUGCAUCACUGGGUGAUGUGGAAACGGAAAUUCUGGGGUGUGCUGCAG